GAUGAACGCUGGCGGCGUGCCUAAUACAUGCAAGUCGAGCGAACAGACGAGGAGCUUGCUCCUCUGACGUUAGCGGCGGACGGGUGAGUAACACGUGGAUAACCUACCUAUAAGACUGGGAUAACUUCGGGAAACCGGAGCUAAUACCGGAUAAUAUAUUGAACCGCAUGGUUCAAUAGUGAAAGACGGUUUUGCUGUCACUUAUAGAUGGAUCCGCGCCGCAUUAGCUAGUUGGUAAGGUAACGGCUUACCGAGGCAACGAUGCGUGGCCGACCUGAGAGGGUGAUCGGCCACACUGGAACUGAGACACGGUCCAGACUCCUACGGGAGGCAGCAGUAGGGAAUCUUCCGCAAUGGGCGAAAGCCUGACGGAGCAACGCCGCGUGAGUGAUGAAGGUCUUCGGAUCGUAAAACUCUGUUAUUAGGGAAGAACAAAUGUGUAAGUAACUAUGCACGUCUUGACGGUACCUAAUCAGAAAGCCACGGCUAACUACGUG
rnacentral:rRNA from 1 species